rnacentral:tRNA from 1 species
GCGCCCGUAGCUCAGCGGAUAGAGCGAUGGACUUCUAAUCCAUUGGUCGCAGGUUCGAUCCCUGCCGGGCGCG